AAUGUAGCACAAAGAAAGUAUUAAUUGAAAUGAAUGUUCUACAUUAUUUCACUAUGGUAAACUUUUUUAUGAAAGACUGCUUACUUAUAAGUGCUAUGUUUUUACUUAUUAGGUUUUAAGGAGAAUGCAACAGGUUCCAGGGCCUCUUACCUGCGUGAUUCAUCAUCCAGGUUUUGCACAAAUUGUCUAAAUCCCUACACACAGAACAUUUAUUGUACCGACUAUAAGCCUUUGAGGUGCAGGACUAGAAUACGCUUGGAGCUUCCUGAUCAGAUCGGUCACAAUUUUGGCUUUCGACGACCCCUGCACUGAAGAUGGCAUGCAAUCACGUCCUCCUUUGAAGGUCUCUCAAACUGUGAUGCCAGGUCCAUUGGAAUCGGGGUUUCCUUCAGCUUAUCUUCAAAUACCUCAUCAAACACAAGCCUGAUCACAUCAUCCACAUAACUUUACAAAUAUUGCAGUCAAUAAAUCUUUUGUUUUGAUCAUUUAUUUCCCGGCUUCAUACAUUAAGUUUUUAAUUAUGAAUGUAUUUGAAAUAAAACAUUACUGCUUAA